GAUGAACGCUGGCGGCGUGCCUAAUACAUGCAAGUCGAGCGAACAGACGAGGAGCUUGCUCCUCUGACGUUAGCGGCGGACGGGUGAGUAACACGUGGAUAACCUACCUAUAAGACUGGGAUAACUUCGGGAAACCGGAGCUAAUACCGGAUAAUAUAUUGAACCGCAUGGUUCAAUAGUGAAAGACGGUUUUGCUGUCACUUAUAGAUGGAUCCGCGCCGCAUUAGCUAGUUGGUAAGGUAACGGCUUACCAAGGCAACGAUGCGUAGCCGACCUGAGAGGGUGAUCGGCCACACUGGAACUGAGACACGGUCCAGACUCCUACGGGAGGCAGCAGUAGGGAAUCUUCCGCAAUGGGCGAAAGCCUGACGGAGCAACGCCGCGUGAGUGAUGAAGGUCUUCGGGUCGUAAACCUCUGUUAUUAGGGAAGAACAAAUGUGUAAGUAACUCUGCACGUCUUGACGGUACCUAAACAGAAAGCCACGGCUAACUACGUG
rnacentral:rRNA from 1 species